rnacentral:rRNA from 1 species
CCCUUAGAUGUUCUGGGCGGCCCACGCACUACAAUGGCGCGUUCAUCGAGAACCAAGGUUGAAUUAUUCGAGGUAUUCUUGCAAAACGCGUCUUGAUUGGGAUAGAUCCUUGUAAUUGUUGGUCUUGAACGAGGAAUUCCUUGUAAGCGUGGUUUAUCAUCCCACGUUGAAUGCGUCCCUGCCCUUUGUACACACCGCCCGUCGCUCCUACCGAUGAAUUGUCCGGUGAAGUUCAUGGAGAGCUGUUUCACUGAGAUGUGCUUAAAGCGAGAUGAACCUAGCGGUUUAGAGGAAGGAGAAGUCGUAACA